GCCUGGUUAGCUCAGCUGGUUAGAGCGUCGUACUAAUAUCCUCAACUUGAAGAUAUCAAGUCAUGCGAAGGUCAACAGUUCAAUCCUGUUACUGGGCA
rnacentral:tRNA from 1 species